AGAGUUUGAUCAUGGCUCAGAACGAACGCUGGCGGCAUGCCUAACACAUGCAAGUCGAACGUGAUCCCGGCUUCGGCCGGGUGAAAGUGGCAAACGGGUGAGUAACGCGUGGGAACCUGCCCUGAGGUAGGGAAUAACCGCGGGAAACUGCGGCUAAUACCCUAUGUGCCCUAUGGGGCAAAGAUUUAUCGCCUUGGGAGGGGCCCGCGUCGGAUUAGGUAGUUGGUGGGGUAACGGCCUACCAAGCCUUCGAUCCGUAGCUGGUCUGAGAGGAUGAUCAGCCACACUGGGACUGAGAUACGGCCCAGACUCCUACGGGAGGCAGCAGUGGGGAAUAUUGGACAAUGGGGGCAACCCUGAUCCAGCAAUGCCGCGUGGGUGAUGAAGGCCUUCGGGUUGUAAAGCCCUUUCGGCGGGGACGAUGAUGACGGUACCCGCAGAAGAAGCCCCGGCUAACUUCGUGCCAGCAGCCGCGGUAAUACGAAGGGGGCUAGCGUUGUUCGGAAUUACUGGGCGUAAAGGGCGCGUAGGCUGUGCUGUAAGUCAGGCGUGAAAGGCCCGGGCUCAACCUGGGAAUGGCGCAUGAUACUGCGGCGCUGGAAGGCGGGAGAGGAUGGCGGAAUUCCCAGUGUAGAGGUGAAAUUCGUAGAUAUUGGGAAGAACACCGGUGGCGAAGGCGGCCAUCUGGCCCGCAAUUGACGCUGAGGCGCGAAAGCGUGGGGAGCAAACAGGAUUAGAUACCCUAGUAGUCC
rnacentral:rRNA from 1 species